UACGGAGUUACAAACGUUGACGUUAGACGAAGUAGUUGGAAAGCUACAUCAAAGAAGGUAAUAAUCCUGUAGUCGAAAACGUUAACACUCUUGAGUGGAUCCUGAGUACGACGGAGCACGUGAAAUUCCGUCGGAAUCUAGGAGGCCCAUCUCCUAAGGCUAAAUACUCUCUAGUGACCGAUAGUGAACCAGUACCGUGAGGGAAAGGUGAAAAGUACCCCGGAAGGGGAGUGAAAGAGAACUUGAAACCGUGUGCUUACAAGUAGUCAGAGCCCGUUAAUGGGUGAUGGCGUGCCUUUUGUAGAAUGAACCGGCGAGUUACGAUCUGAUGCAAGGUUAAGCAGCGAAUGUGGAGCCGCAGCGAAAGCGAGUCUGAAUAGGGCGAUAGAGUAUUAGGUCGUAGACCCGAAACCAGGUGAUCUACCCAUGGUCAGGUUGAAGUUCAGGUAACACUGAAUGGAGGACCGAACCGACUUACGUUGAAAAGUGAGCGGAUGAACUGUGGGUAGCGGAGAAAUUCCAAUCGAACUUGGAGAUAGCUGGUUCUCUCCGAAAUAGCUUUAGGGCUAGCCUCAAGUGAUGAUUAUUGGAGGUAGAGCACUGUUUGGACGAGGGGCCCCUCUCGGGUUACCGAAUUCAGACAAACUCCGAAUGCCAAUCAAUUUAACUUGGGAGUCAGAACGUGGGUGAUAAGGUCCAUGUUCGAAAGGGAAACAGCCCAGACCACCAGCUAAGGUCCCAAAAUAUAUGUUAAGUGGAAAAGGAUGUGGCGUUGCCCAGACAACUAGGAUGUUGGCUUAGAAGCAGCCAUCAUUUAAAGAGUGCGUAAUAGCUCACUAGUCGAGUGACGCUGCGCCGAAAAUGUACCGGGGCUAAACAUAUUACCGAAGCUGUGGAUUGUCCUUCGGACAAUGGUAGGAGAGCGUUCUAAGGGCGUUGAAGCAUGAUCGUGAGGACAUGUGGAGCGCUUAGAAGUGAGAAUGCCGGUGUGAGUAGCGAAAGACGGGUGAGAAUCCCGUCCACCGAUUGACUAAGGUUUCCAGAGGAAGGCUCGUCCGCUCUGGGUUAGUCGGGUCCUAAGCUGAGGCCGAUAGGCGUAGGCGAUGGAUAACAGGUUGAUAUUCCUGUACCACCCUUUUUCGUUUUAAGCGAUGGGAGGACGCAGUAGGAUAGGCGAAGCGUGCGACUGGAUGUACGUUCAAGCAGUAAGGCUGAGUGUUAGGCAAAUCCGGCACUCAUACGGCUAAGCUGUGAUGAGGAGGGGGAAUUGUUCCCCUGAGUCGCUGAUUUCACACUGCCGAGAAAAGUCUCUAGCUAGAAACAGGGUGCCCGUACCGCAAACCGACACAGGUAGUCAAGAUGAGAAUUCUAAGGUGAGCGAGCGAACUCUCGUUAAGGAACUCGGCAAAAUGACCCCGUAACUUCGGGAGAAGGGGUGCUCUUUGGGGUGUAUGCCCCGAAGAGCCGCAGUGAAUAGGCCCAAGCGACUGUUUAUCAAAAACACAGGUCUCUGCUAAACCGUAAGGUGAUGUAUAGGGGCUGACGCCUGCCCGGUGCUGGAAGGUUAAGAGGAGUGGUUAGCUUCUGCGAAGCCACGAAUCGAAGCCCCAGUAAACGGCGGCCGUAACUAUAACGGUCCUAAGGUAGCGAAAUUCCUUGUCGGGUAAGUUCCGACCCGCACGAAAGGCGUAACGAUUUGGGCACUGUCUCAACGAGAGACUCGGUGAAAUCAUAGUACCUGUGAAGAUGCAGGUUACCCGCGACAGGACGGAAAGACCCCGUGGAGCUUUACUGUAGCCUGAUAUUGAAAUUCGGCACAGCUUGUACAGGAUAGGUAGGAGCCUUAGAUACGUGAGCGCUAGCUUACGUGGAGGCGUUGGUGGGAUACUACCCUCGCUGUGUUGGAUUUCUAACCCGCA
rnacentral:rRNA from 1 species